AUUACCUGGGGAUCCUGUUAAAAUGCAGAUUCUGACUCAGCAGGCGCAGCGUGGGGCCGAGAAUCUGCAUUUCUAACAAGCCCCCAGGUGCUGCCUC
rnacentral:pre_miRNA from 1 species